CGUCACGCGCCCCUCCCCCAAAACGAAAUCCAAUUCCGUCCGCCCUUUUCUCCUGUGCGCAGACCUCCAAAACGAAACCAUACCAUCUCACUCUUCCCCGCAGUGUCUCUUCCUUAUCUUCAUCCAAAGCCAUUCUCUUCUCAAAACCUCACCAUCCCCAAAGCCUUCAACGACCUCAGCUGGUCGUCACUUCCUUUCUCGCCUUGGAUUCUCUCUACUCACACCAAGCCUUCAUCUUCUAGACGGAGAUUUUCUAUGAAUGCGAGUUAACUUCCAUUAGUCGGCAAUCUGGCACCUGACUUUUAUUAUGAUUUGCAGGAAUAUAGAGGCAGUUUGGUUCCCCAUAGAGGCCGUCGAUCGUCAUAAAACCUGCCGAAACGCUCCAUCCCCCCACUCCAUCGUCAAAUUGUGGAGUGGUUGUGAGGAUGGUUGCGAUUUCUGGUGGAAGGCAAAAUUGAAGCUGAAGUUAAACUCACUGGAUUCUCAGCUUAGGAGCAUUGCCACCUAGGGAAUCCAGAAAAUAUGGUUAUGCACAAGCACCAGAAGUAUUUUAUGUGAGUAUUGAAGGUGGUUGGAUUCGGUAUUAGAUUGUAAAAAUAAUGGGUUUUUAGCAUAGAGUAAAAAUUCUGUCUGAAAACUUUGUGUUCUAUGGCAAUUUGUUAGAAAUGUGAAAUAAGCUCUGAAAUCACAUCCUGAUUUUAUCGGUGUUGUAGUGCUUCUUCAAGCCAAAUGGUAAGGUAGAGCUGGUAGAACCAGAAUAUGGCGGAGCCAUCUCUCCACAGUGCACAUUGCAGGGUAAUGUAUCAAUAAGAACCAUCUCUCUUGUGGGUCAUGUCACGAAUGUUCUGUGUUUCAAAAAUCACACACAUUAGACAUUCCUAGCCAUCAUUUUUCUUCACUUUCCUACACCGAAUGUUGACUGCUUAUUUGCUUUAUAACCUUGCUCUGAAGGCCACGGAGCAGAUGGGUAUCCAAUCUAAGUGUAGUUUGAAAUCAUCCAAUCACCCUGCCAUGUUUACUUUGCAAAUCUACCAGCACACAUCUAAUUCUUUAGUUACGUACAUAUAAAGAAGCUAUUCUUCUUUAGAUAGGUGAACACUACGCUACAUGCUAUUUGAUAUUUAAACACUACCGUAGAUCUACUAUGGUCUGAGCUCUAGACCUAGAUAUUUAAACACUGUUUACGUCUCUUUAACUUGAUCUUACUGACCAUAAAGUAUUUGUGGUUGCCUUGAUUCAUGUUAAUCUUGUAACAAAUGGCUUCUAUUUUGUGAAAAAGUGCUUGCAUUUAAGUCUAUUGUGCCUAUGAUAUUACAGGAUUCCUUAUAUCAUAAUUUUUCCGAGGAGGAACUGAUGCGAGUUCAUGAAUAUAAUUUUGACUAUCCUGGUCAAUCUUUCAGAUGUGAUAAUUUUGGAAGGGAUACUUUUUUCAUAUUGUUUCCAAAAAUGCUGUGAUCUAGUCUAGUUACUCAUGUAUAUGAACCAUGCAACAAAGUGGCAGCUGUAAAAGCUAGAAGACCAUCUUUACGUGCAUGAAAUCCACCCUCUCCAUAAGGUACAAUACCCCUUUUCUUGACUUGAUACCAACUCUUGAUCAACAUAUGUUUCUUACCAAACUAAUUUCUUAGUCAAAUCUACUUGUAAUUUCCAUCACAUUUCUUGCAGUCCACUUUUUUUCUGGUAAGAUUUUCAUUUAAUCUUGGGUUGGCAAUGGGUUGGGUUUUGGUUGAGUUGGAUCAGCCUGGGUUGGACCUGUUCACUAAGCAAGCAAAGAAGUCAAACCUAUGCCCAGCCCAUUUACUAAAUGGGCUGAGAUUCAAACUAGAGUUCAACCUAGAACCCUUGAAUUCAAACUACUUUCUACUUGUUGAGAUUUAACUUUUUAUGUAAACAUUUCGCAGCUCAUACGAUUACAGAAAUGUUUUUCCAGAUGCUGUUUUUCUUUUCUUUUCUUUUGUUGUUCUUGUUGUUUUGUUUCGAUGUUUAGUACUCGUAUUUCUUAGAAUCAGAAUUUACCCAUUGAAUUUGACCCAAAUUCAUUGAUAAAAUAUCUUUUCAGGGAUCUAUCUUACAACAAUUUCAGUGGAGAUUGCCAGGCUCAUUCAGUAAUUUCCAUUUUACCAUCAUCAUGGGCAAAGUAGUAACUAGUUUGUAUUUCUGUAGGUAAUUUCUUAUUAUAUGAACCACGAUGGCUGUAUAUUUUGUUGGAAAAUAAGUUCUUGUUCAUCAUCUA